rnacentral:rRNA from 1 species
ACGCACCCGGGGCAGAGAUCCCGCCGAGGCAACAGUUUGGUAACGUUCACAUUGGGUUUGGAGUUGUAAACUCGGUAAUGAUCCUGUCCCGUGAACCAGCGGAGGGAUCAUUACCGAGUUUACAACUCCCAAACCCAACGUGAACGUAACCAGACUGUUGCCUCGGCCGGAUCUCUGCCCCCGGGUGCGUCGCAGCCCCGGACCAAGGCGCCCGCCGGAGGACCAACCAAAACUCUUAUUGUAUACCCCCUCGCGGGUUUUUUUAUAAUCUGAGCCUUCUCGGCGCCUCUCGUAGGCGUUUCGAAAAUGAAUCAAAACUUUCAACAACGGAUCUCUUGGUUCUGGCAUCGAUGAAGAACGCAGCGAAAUGCGAUAAGUAAUGUGAAUUGCAGAAUUCAGUGAAUCAUCGAAUCUUUGAACGCACAUUGCGCCCGCCAGUAUUCUGGCGGGCAUGCCUGUCCGAGCGUCAUUUCAACCCUCGAACCCCUCCGGGGGGUCGGCGUUGGGGAUCGGCCCUGCCUUGGCGGUGGCCGUCUCCGAAAUACAGUGGCGGUCUCGCCGCAGCCUCUCCUGCGCAGUAGUUUGCACACUCGCAUCGGGAGCGCGGCGCGUCCACAGCCGUUAAACACCCAACUUCUGAAAUGUUGACCUCGGAUCAGGUAGGAAUACCCGCUGAACUUAAGCAUAUCAAUUAAG